rnacentral:rRNA from 1 species
AGCGAACGCUGGCGGCAGGCCUAACACAUGCAAGUCGAACGAACUCUUCGGAGUUAGUGGCGGACGGGUGAGUAACACGUGGGAACGUGCCUUUUGGUUCGGAAUAACUCAGGGAAACUUGUGCUAAUACCGAAUGUGCCCUUCGGGGGAAAGAUUUAUCGCCAUUAGAGCGGCCCGCGUCUGAUUAGCUAGUUGGUGAGGUAACGGCUCACCAAGGCGACGAUCAGUAGCUGGUCUGAGAGGAUGACCAGCCACACUGGGACUGAGACACGGCCCAGACUCCUACGGGAAGGAGGAGUGGGGAAUCUUGCGGAAUGGGGGAAAGCCUGGCGCAGCCAUGCCGGGGGAAUGAUGAAGGUCUUAGGAUUGUAAUAUUCUUUCACCGGGGACGAUAAUGACGGUACCCGGUGAAGAAGCCCCGGCUAACUUCGUG